rnacentral:lncRNA from 1 species
ACUGUGGCCUUUCAAGAAUCCCUGCAGCAACGUGCUGAUGAUGUACAGAACUGUGCAGAAUGACAGCAGUAAGUCCCUGUGGUCCGGCAAACCUCUCCAUCCACACAACUGGGACAGUGGAAUGCAAUAAAGACAUACGUUGAGCAGCCAAUGCUACAGAUCUUCUACAACUGUACUAUGGAUUAUACCAAUAAUUAAAGUAUUGAUGAAAUGAAUAAUUGAUACUGGCCCUUGACGUUAAUGAAACUGUCAAACUUCGAACAUCAAGUGACAUCACUGCGCAUCUCAUUCCACAGAAUAGUGAAUCCUGAUAUU